AUGUUGGUGGUUCUCAAAAUCACCUCUGAUGGUUUUGAGGAUAAAUAUCUUGGUUUACCUGUGCCGGAAGGGCGGAUGAAGGCUGGUAAAUUCCAAUCUACAAAAGAUAAAGCGCUUAAGCGGGUUUCAGACUGGAUAGAAAAAUAUGCUUCUAGUGGUGUGAAGGAGCUCCAGAUUAAGUCAGUCAUUCAGUCUCUUCCGGUCUAUGCCAUGGGGAUUUUUAAAUUUCCUGCUUCUAUUUGUGAAGAGUUAUCCCAAAUCAUUAGGAAUUUUUGGUGGGGUGACCAGGAGGAUAGGAAGAAAACUCAUUGGCUAGCAUGGGAUAAGUUGACAAGACCCAAAGGAGAAGGAGGUAUGGGCUUUAGAGAUUUGAGAUUAUUUAAUCAAGCGCUUUUGGCGAAACAGGCUUGGCGUUUAUUGGUCUUUCCGGACUCGUUAUGUGCAAAGGUGAUGAAAGCAAAGUAUUAUCCUCAUGGGCAUUUGCUAGACACUGUAUUCCCUCAUGUGACAUCGACUACUUGGCAAGGUAUUAUGCAUGGUCUUGAGCUGCUGAAAAAGGGGGUCAUUUGGAGAGUUCGCGACGGUGCAAAUAUAAAUAUUUGGAGAGACAAUUGGCUUCCUAGAGAUUCGGGGCUUCAAAUUUCAGCAAAAAGGAAUAGAAUCAGACUCAAAUGUGUGUCUGAAUUAUUCAUUAGUGGCUCAACAAGAUGGGAUGAGAAUCUUAUUCGGCAUCUGUUCUUUCCACAUGAUGCGGACGAAAUUUUGAAGUUGCGUGUUCUGACUGUCGGUGAUGGAGAUUUCAUUGCUUGGCACUACGAAAAAAAUGGUUUAUUCUCAGUUAAAAGUGCGUAUAAGUUGGCGCUCAAACUUAAGGACUCUAUGAUUGAGUUAGGGAGUUCAAGUGGUGCUGCUAAUGGGGAAAGGAGGCUAUGGAAUAUUAUUUGGAAGGCUCAGGUCCCUCAGAAAAUCAGAAUUUUUGCAUGGCGUGCUGCGACACAAAGUUUGGCGGUUCAAGUUAACAGAGUUAAACACCACCAAACUACUAUUGGUCUGUGCUCGAUUUGUGGCGUAGAAGAUGAAUCUGUAUUUCAUGCACUGGUAAGCUGUCCUAAGGCUCGUGCGUUACGUCUGGCGGUAAGGGAGGUAUGGAAUUUACCAGAUGAAGUGGUUUUCAAUUUUACGGGGCCGGAUUGGUUACUUGUCUUAUUGGAUCAAGUAAGGCCGCCGGUGCGUGAGCAAAUUAUAUUGAUGUUUUGGAGGGCUUGGCAUCUGAGGAAUGAUUUGAUUUUUGGUAAGGGAAAGGAAAAAAUCUCUGACUCGGUGAGGUUCAUUCAGAAUUACUGGACGUCCUUCUCGUCCUGUCAUCCCAAUGUCAAGAUGGAGAUUAGCAUCAAAGGUAAAGAAAGGGUGAAUGGCUUAAAUUUUACUAAUGAUAUGCGUAAGAAUCUUGUGACUUGGCAGGCUCCCGCUACGGAGAUCAUUAAGAUUAAUGUUGAUGCAAGUUAUGUGGAGGCUUUAAGGGCUGCAAGUGUGGGCGUCGUGGCCAGGAACCAUACUGGAGAAGUUAUCAUAUCGUCCUGGGAUUAUAUUGGGGUGUGCAAUAGCGUGGAAGAAGCGGAACUGAGAGCGACCCUUGCGGGGCUAUACAUUGGUAUUACUCUCCACAAGGCCAUCAUCUUAGAAACGGAUUGUUCUUUUGUGGCUUCUUUCCUUCGAAAUGAUCUUCUAGACAGGUCUCCUCUGGUGGAUCUAAAGAUAGAAGCUUUGAGUUUAGCCAAAAUGAUGAUAAUUGCAAGAUAUCCAAGAUUAAAAGAACGGCUAAUAGGGUGGCGCACGAGAUUGCGAAGUUCAGCUUUGAUAAUAGGUCCGAUGGUGUGCUCCUUAAUAGUGUUCCGCCCUGCGUGGCUGAUUUUGUAA
rnacentral:rRNA from 1 species